rnacentral:rRNA from 1 species
ACACGUGGGUAACCUGCCUGUAAGACUGGGAUAACUCCGGGAAACCGGGGCUAAUACCGGAUGCUUGUUUGAACCGCAUGGUUCAAACAUAAAAGGUGGCUUCGGCUACCACUUACAGAUGGACCCGCGGCGCAUUAGCUAGUUGGUGAGGUAAUGGCUCACCAAGGCGACGAUGCGUAGCCGACCUGAGAGGGUGAUCGGCCACACUGGGACUGAGACACGGCCCAGACUCCUACGGGAGGCAGCAGUAGGGAAUCUUCCGCAAUGGACGAAAGUCUGACGGAGCAACGCCGCGUGAGUGAUGAAGGUUUUCGGAUCGUAAAGCUCUGUUGUUAGGGAAGAACAAGUACCGUUCGAAUAGGGCGGUACCUUGACGGUACCUAACCAGAAAGCCACGGCUAACUACGUGCCAGCAGCCGCGGUAAUACGUAGGUGGCAAGCGUUGUCCGGAAUUAUUGGGCGUAAAGGGCUCGCAGGCGGUUUCUUAAGUCUGAUGUGAAAGCCCCCGGCUCAACCGGGGAGGGUCAUUGGAAACUGGGGAACUUGAGUGCAGAAGAGGAGAGUGGAAUUCCACGUGUAGCGGUGAAAUGCGUAGAGAUGUGGAGGAACACCAGUGGCGAAGGCGACUCUCUGGUCUGUAACUGACGCUGAGGAGCGAAAGCGUGGGGAGCGAACAGGAUUAGAUACCCUGGUAGUCCACGCCGUAAACGAUGAGUGCUAAGUGUUAGGGGGUUUCCGCCCCUUAGUGCUGCAGCUAACGCAUUAAGCACUCCGCCUGGGGAGUACGGGUCGCAAGACUGAAACUCAAAGGAAUUGACG